CAAAAUGUCCUCCUGCUCAGCCAUACUUUGAUGAGGAAACAAUGGCAUGUGGUUCAAAAGAACAAUGUGGUUGCUACGACAAAGGAGGAAGACACUAUAAUAAUGGUGACAAAGUGCCAACAACUGAAAACUGUCGUACAUGUACAUGCAGUUCAAUCACUAUCCAAUGCCAUUACGAUGCCUAAGCCUGUACCUGUACAUAUAAUGGAAACAAAUACCCACCUGGUAGUACCAUCUAUAACACAACAGAUGGUAAGUGCAUCACAGCAGUGUGUGGGAAGAAUGGUACCAUUGAUAAGAGGUCAUACCCAUGCACAUCAACAACGCAUAUGCCUACU